CGGCCUUGACAUACUAAGAACUUUCCAGAGAUGGAUUGGUGCCUUCGGGAACUUAGAUACAGGUGCUGCAUGGCUGUCGUCAGCUCGUGUCGUGAGAUGUUGGGUUAAGUCCCGCAACGAGCGCAACCCUUUUCCUUAUUUGCCAGCGGGUCAUGCCGGGAACUUUAAGGAUACUGCCAGUGACAAACUGGAGGAAGGCGGGGACGACGUCAAGUCAUCAUGGCCCUUACGGCCAGGGCUACACACGUGCUACAAUGGUCGGUACAAAGGGUUGCUACCUCGCGAGAGGAUGCUAAUCUCAAAAAGCCGAUCGUAGUCCGGAUCGCAGUCUGCAACUCGACUGCGUGAAGUCGGAAUCGCUAGUAAUCGCGGAUCAGAAUGCCGCGGUGAAUACGUUCCCGGGCCCUGUACACACCGCCCGUCACACCAUGGGAGUUUGUUGCACCAGAAGUAGGUAGUCUAACCGCAAGGAGGACGCUUACCACGGUGUGGCCGAUGACUGGGGUGAAGUCGUAACAAGGUAAGCGUAGAUGA
rnacentral:rRNA from 1 species